rnacentral:rRNA from 1 species
ACGCAGCAAAUGCGAUAAGUAAUGUGAAUUGCAGAAUCAGUGAAUCAUCGAACCUUUGAACGCACAUGGCGCCCCGCCGCCAGUCUCGCCGGCAAGCCUGUUCGAGCGUCAUUUCAACCCUCAAGCUAAGCUUGGUGUUGGGACGCGCGGUAACCCG